AUGCCAACCAACAUCGGACCACCCUUGACGUGUGUUUCCCAGUCCCCACGAGCUCACUGACACUUUACGCCAGCAGGCACGACAGCAGCAUUAGCGUUGACUGACGUGGAGGAAAAUCGGAAAAAAAACACGCCGCACAUCGCCGUUUAACGAAAAGGAACGCGCGUGUUUGAUUCAUGCGUAGGUAAACGUUGAAGAGAAUAUACGUGUCAAAUGUCAAUAUACCGGGUCUCUUUUAGUUAUCAGGAGAACGUUUUUAACCUAUAAAGUAUAAUAUUGAACUCGCAAUUCUAAUCUAACGUACAAUCAAAGUUACACAACAAGCAAAAUGAAUUUCUUAUAUCGAUUACCAUUUUAUGUAUUAGAGGUACCAAAUCUUAAAUUAAAAAAACCAUCAUUCUUUGUAAAACCGAGUGCAAUGGUGGUUUUCUCUAUGGUGUUGCUCUCCUACUUUUUAAUGACGGGAGGUAUCAUAUACGAUGUUAUUUUAGAACCACCUAGUGUUGGUUCUACAACCGACGAACAUGGCCAUAGUCGACCUGUAGCAUUUAUGCCAUACAGAGUAAACGGACAAUAUAUCAUGGAAGGUUUAGCAUCAAGUUUUCUUUUUACAUUAGGAGGUCUGGGUUUUAUAAUUCUCGAUCAAACGCAUAGUCCAUCUAUGCCUAAACUUACUAGGAUACUAUUAAUUAGUGUAGGAUUUAUUAGUGUUCUGGUAUCUUUUACUACUUGUUGGAUUUUUAUGCGUAUGAAGCUUCCGGGAUAUCUACAAUCGUAAUAUUAAAAGUAUUGAUGAAAAUAAUGGCAUUUUCAAACAGUAAUAGGACAUAUAAGUAAAACUUUGGGAGCAGCGUCGCUAAAAACAGACAUCAUAUCUAAAAAGUCCUCAAACGUACAAUCACCAUCUUGACUGGAACU